rnacentral:rRNA from 1 species
UCUGCCUGGUAGUGGGGGACAACGUUUCGAAAGGAACGCUAAUACCGCAUACGUCCUACGGGAGAAAGCAGGGACCUUCGGGCCUUGCGCUAUCAGAUGAGCCUAGGUCGGAUUAGCUAGUUGGUGAGGUAAUGGCUCACCAAGGCGACGAUCCGUAACUGGUCUGAGAGGAUGAUCAGUCACACUGGAACUGAGACACGGUCCAGACUCCUACGGGAGGCAGCAGGG